rnacentral:rRNA from 1 species
UACGUAGGGCGCAAGCGUUUAUCCGGAAUUAUUGGGCGUAAAGAGCUCGUAGGCGGCCUGUUGCGUCCGCUGUGAAAAUCCCGGGGCUCAACCCCGGGCCUGCAGUGGAUACGGGCUGGCUAGAGGCAGGCAGGGGAGAACGGAAUUCCUGGUGUAGCGGUGAAAUGCGCAGAUAUCAGGAGGAACACCGGUGGCGAAGGCGGCCCCACUGGAUCGGUACUGACGCUGAGGUGCGAAAGCGUGGGGAGCAAACAGG